rnacentral:lncRNA from 1 species
AGUUCGUAACUUGUCUUCUGGACAUAGGUUUCUCUGUCCGGUGGUCUCUACGAAGUGGGUAAGGGUGGGAGAUUGCCAUUGACAUUCCCGCCCUGGACGGGACUCUGGUCCUGUGGGCUUUGACAGGUCACUGCAUUCCUGCCAGGUCGACGUUUUGCGUUUAUUGGUGAGAUUGAAAUCCCUUCAUUUGUGUUUUCGCCAUUUGUAUUUCUUUGUGAUUUGCCAGCUCAUAUUUUUUUCCAUGUAUGUUGAAAACAUGCUUCUCAAUUUGUCUUUUGACUCUGAUUAUGGUGUUUGAUUCUGGUUUGGGCUUUUUCAAAAUAGAAAAUUUAAAAUUUUUAGGAGUCAAAUAUUUUGCCUUAAGGCAUUUUGGGCUUUGUGCUGUGUUUUAAAGGGCUUUCCCCACUCCAAGAUUAUUUUUAAAAUAAACUCUUGUUUUUCUGUGGUACUUGUA